rnacentral:rRNA from 1 species
CGCUAUCUGCAGUCGACGAUACCAGAGAGCUUGCUUUCUGGGAAAGUGGCGCACGGGUGCGUAACGCGUAUGCAACCUACCUUUAUCAGGGGGAUAGCCUCUCGAAAGAGAGAUUAACACCGCAUAAAAUCAAAGAACGGCAUCGUUUAAUGAUCAAAUAUUUAUAGGAUAAAGAUGGGCAUGCGUGACAUUAGCUAGUUGGUGAGGUAACGGCUCACCAAGGCGACGAUGUCUAGGGGAUCUGAGAGGAUGACCCCCCACACUGGUACUGAGACACGGACCAGACUCCUACGGGAGGCAGCAGUAAGGAAUAUUGGUCAAUGGAGGCAACUCUGAACCAGCCAUGCCGCGUGCAGGAAGACGGCCCUAUGGGUUGUAAACUGCUUUUAUUCGGGAAUAAACCCUUUUACGUGUAAGAGGUUGAAUGUACCGAAAGAAUAAGGAUCGGCUAACUCCGUGCCAGCAGCCGCGGUAAUACGGAGGAUCCAAGCGUUAUCCGGAUUUAUUGGGUUUAAAGGGUGCGUAGGCGGCUUAUUAAGUCAGGGGUGAAAGACGGUGGCUCAACCAUCGCAGUGCCUUUGAUACUGAUGAGCUUGAAUACACUUGAGGUAGGCGGAAUGUGACAAGUAGCGGUGAAAUGCAUAGAUAUGUCACAGAACACCAAUUGCGAAGGCAGCUUACUAAGGUGCAAUUGACGCUGAGGCACGAAAGCGUGGGGAUCAAACAGGA